UCUGUUAUAAAACAGAUAGGAGUUAGGAUUAUAUGGGUUAUGAGUAAAAUUUCUUCAGGAAUCCUUUAUAGCAGGUGACAGGAUCAUUCAUUUCUGCUAGCCAAGAGAGAAUGAGGCUCUCUCAGCUUUGAUAAGAACAGCAGACAUCUUACCAGAGAUUGGAGUUAGUCAGUGUGAUGUGUUGGAGGGUGCUUGGGGCAGGAUGGAGGAGGAUCAGCUCAAAUAAACCCUACAGAUGAAGAGUGGAGGUGGGGGCUGAGUCUCCUGAAGAAAAUCAAAACCCUGGUUCCAAAAGAAGGGGUGUAUUGGCCAGGUUUUGCUAGUAUAAUACUGUGUAACAAACAACCCUAACACUCACUGGCUUGCUUAAACAACAAAUGGGUCAUGGUUGGCUGGGUUCAUGUUUGCUUCACAUGUUUUUCUCAUUCUGGGACCCAAGCUGAAGGAACGGGCUCAAUAUGGGACACGUGGAUUUCUGGAAGGGCAGGAGCUCCAGAGAAACUGGUCAUCGAUAGGCCAGAGGUUGGCAAACUGCAGGCCCACCGCCCGUUUCUAUGACUUUCAAGAAAGGUAAAAACGCAACUGAAACGCAAAGAAAGAUACGUGCAGUGUAUGGAGAAGGUGUUAUGACUGAUCGAACGCGUCAAAAGUGGUCUGUGAAGUUUCGUGCUGGAGAUUUCUCACUGGACGAUGCUCCACAGUCGGGUAGACCAGUUGAAGUUGAUAGCGAUUAAAUCAAGACAUUAACUGAGAACAGUCAACGUUAUACCACGCGGGAGAUAGCCAACAUCCUCAAAAUAUUCAAAUCAAGCGCUGAGAAUCAUUUGCACCAGCUUGGUUACAUGAAUCGCUUUGAUGUUUGGGUUCCACAUAAGUUAAGCAAAAAAAAAACUUCUUGAACAUAUUUCCCCAUGCAAUUCUCUGCUUAAAAGUAAUGAAAACGUUCCGUUUUUAAAACAAAUUGUGACAGGCAAUGAAAAGUGGAUACUGUACAAUAAUGUGGAAUGGAAGAGAUCAUGGGGCAAGCGAAAUGAACCGCCAACAACCACACCAAACGCCGGUCUUCAUCCAAAGAAGGUGAUGUUGUGUAUAUGGUGGGAUUGGAAGGGAAACCUCUAUUAUGAGCUCCUUCCGGAAAACCGAACGAUUAAUUCCAACAAGUACUGCUCCUGAUUAGGCCAACUGAAAGAAGCACUCGACGAAAAGCAUCCAGAAUUAGCCAACAGAAAACGCAUAAUCUUCCAUCAGGGUAAUGCAAGACCGCAUGUUUCUUUGAUGACCAGGCAAACACUGUUACAGCUUGUCUGGGAAGUUCUGAUUCAUCAGCCAUAUUCACUAGACAUUGCACCUUCGGAUUUCCAUUUAUUUUGGUCUUUACAAAAUUCUCUUAAUGGAAAAAAUUUCAAUUCCCUGGAAGACUAUAAAAGGCACCUGGAACAUUUCUGUGCUCAAAAAGAUCAAAAGUUUUGGGAAGAUGGAAUUAUGAAGUUCCUGACAAAAUGGCAGAAGGUAGUGGAACAAAAGGGUG